UUGUUUAUAGGACGAGAUUACGCCGCCGGCGGAAAGGAAGGAGAGACCCAGGCCAGAUUAGUCAACGGUCAACUGUGUAAUGAAUAUAAUCCGUCUCGGAGUUCUCCAGCAGACCAACUGGGCAACUUUCCGAAAGAAUUAAUAUUCACGGCCCAACUGGAGAUCCUAGGCCUUCUCGUCUCGCCCCCACCCAGCGAUAUCGAGCCCUCAGCACUUUCCCAAUCCCUCGAAAGAAGAACGAAUUCCCCCCUUCCGCAGACUUCUCCGGUCUCCCUCCCUCGCCGGAGCCACCGCCCCCCGCCUUCCCUUCUCCGACCAAAUCGUGAAAGCUGCAACUCUUCUCCUCCUUCCAAAUCUCUAGCCGUAUUUGUUUCCAGCGGCCGUGGGGUGCAGAGCUCGAAGUCGAUAGCCAACCAACCAAUGGCGGGCUGGCGGCGGCGCGAUGGGAGAGCAUCGAGGUCGCGCGCAACGGCUGGCGGCGACGUCCUUGCCCGGCCACCUGAGCGGCGGCGGUCCGGGAGCGGGACGGCGCGCCGGCAGGGCUUGGGCCACACCGCAAUCAGGUGGAGUCGCCCCGUCCCGUCGCACCUCGUCUAGGGCAUUGGUGGUCUCCGACGGCGAAAUUUGUUGAGGGAGAGGAAGAGCCUAGGUUGAUUACGCGUACCUCAAGGCCUCAUACGGGAGCAUCGCCGGCAAUGACGUGUGCCACCGCGGUGCUCUGCAGGGACUUCCACUUUAGCUAGAUGAUGUUGUUGGUUAUCUAAGAACUGCCGGGGGGUUGUUGGAUCAUCUAAGAAAUGCCAGGGGAUUUUUGGAACUCAUAUAACAUACGUUUUGACUUUAAUUGAGAUCUUUAAUAAAUUUUCUUGAAUGUUACAUAAUCACUCCUAAAGACGGUUUGUCCAUGGCCCCGUGAACAUAGCAUUUUUCCAUGUAUAAAAAAAAAUACAACAAUAGUUACAAUACAUGAGUUUUGA